UACAGAGGUCUCAAGCGUUGUUCGGAUUCAUUGGGCGUAAAGGGUGCGUAGGCGGCGGGUCAAGUCGAGUGUGAAAGCCCCGGGCUCAACCUGGGAAUUGCGCUCGAGACUGGUCUGCUUGAGUUCGGGAGAGGAGCGUGGAAUUCCCAGUGUAGAGGUGAAAUUCGUAGAUAUUGGGAAGAACACCGGUGGCGAAGGCGGCGCUCUGGACCGAGACUGACGCUGAGGCGCGAAAGCGUGGGGAGCAAACAGG
rnacentral:rRNA from 1 species